UAAGAUGCUCCUUGUGUGAAACGCUGUGAUCCUAAGGUCGCUGGUUCAACUCCAGCCGGAAGCACCUCCAGCCGGAAGCACCUCCUUGUCAUUGGAAAUACCCCCAAGCCUUGUCUUUAUCUGUCAACUCCUCCAAAAUGUAAAAACACAAACAAGAUAACUCUUUCUUAAAUUUUCAACCAUCAAUUUUUUAUUCACCCAGCCUAAAAGUCCUGAUUAUCAGUUCUGGGUCCCUGGCAAUGACUGUUGGGUACAAACUGCAAAGCUUUGUUCGUCAGGUAGGGCUGGGCUUUUCAUUGACCAUGGGUUGGAAUAGUUCUGUGGGCAUAGUGUGUCUUCGAAGCCACUAUGUUUUCUGCACUUGUGACUAGAGAGCACCUUGAUAGCUCAGUUGGUAGAGCGGUGGACUGUAAGAUGCUCCUUGUGUGAAACGCUGUGAUCCUAAGGUCGCUGGUUCAACUCCAGCCGGAAGCACCUCCUUGUCAUUGGAAAUACCCCCAAGCCUUGUCUUUAUCUGUCAACUCCUCCAAAAUGUAAAAACACAAACAAGAUAACUCUUUCUUAAAUUUUCAACCAUCAAUUUUUUAUUCACCCAGCCUAAAAGUCCUGAUUAUAAGUUCUGGGUACCUGGCAAUGACUGUUGGGUACAAACUGCAAAGCUUUGUUCGUCAGGUAGGGCUGGGCUUUUCAUUGACCAUGGGUUGGAAUAGUUCUGUGGGCAUAGUGUGUCUUCGAAGCCACUAUGUUUUCUGCACUUGUGACUAGAGAGCACCUUGAUAGCUCAGUUGGUAGAGCGGUGGACUGUAAGAUGCUCCUUGUGUGAAACGCUGUGAUCCUAAGGUCGCUGGUUCAACUCCAGCCGGAAGCACCUCCUUGUCAUUGGAAAUACCCCCAAGCCUUGUCUUUAUCUGUCAACUCCUCCAAAAUGUAAAAACACAAACAAGAUAACUCUUUCUUAAAUUUUCAACCAUCAAUUUUUUAUUCACCCAGCCUAAAAGUCCUGAUUAUCAGUUCUGGGUCCCUGGCAAUGACUGUUGGGUACAAACUGCAAAGCUUUGUUCGUCAGGUAGGGCUGGGCUUUUCAUUGACCAUGGGUUGGAAUAGUUCUGUGGGCAUAGUGUGUCUUCGAAGCCACUAUGUUUUCUGCACUUGUGACUAGAGAGCACCUUGAUAGCUCAGUUGGUAGAGCGGUGGACUGUAAGAUGCUCCUUGUGUGAAACGCUGUGAUCCUAAGGUCGCUGGUUCAACUCCAGCCGGAAGCACCUCCUUGUCAUUGGAAAUACCCCCAAGCCUUGUCUUUAUCUGUCAACUCCUCCAAAAUGUAAAAACACAAACAAGAUAACUCUUUCUUAAAUUUUCAACCAUCAAUUUUUUAUUCACCCAGCCUAAAAGUCCUGAUUAUCAGUUCUGGGUCCCUGGCAAUGACUGUUGGGUACAAACUGCAAAGCUUUGUUCGUCAGGUAGGGCUGGGCUUUUCAUUGACCAUGGGUUGGAAUAGUUCUGUGGGCAUAGUGUGUCUUCGAAGCCACUAUGUUUUCUGCACUUGUGACUAGAGAGCACCUUGAUAGCUCAGUUGGUAGAGCGGUGGACUGUAAGAUGCUCCUUGUGUGAAACGCUGUGAUCCUAAGGUCGCUGGUUCAACUCCAGCCGGAAGCACCUCCUUGUCAUUGGAAAUACCCCCAAGCCUUGUCUUUAUCUGUCAACUCCUCCAAAAUGUAAAAACACAAACAAGAUAACUCUUUCUUAAAUUUUCAACCAUCAAUUUUUUAUUCACCCAGCCUAAAAGUCCUGAUUAUCAGUUCUGGGUCCCUGGCAAUGACUGUUGGGUACAAACUGCAAAGCUUUGUUCGUCAGGUAGGGCUGGGCUUUUCAUUGACCAUGGGUUGGAAUAGUUCUGUGGGCAUAGUGUGUCUUCGAAGCCACUAUGUUUUCUGCACUUGUGACUAGAGAGCACCUUGAUAGCUCAGUUGGUAGAGCGGUGGACUGUAAGAUGCUCCUUGUGUGAAACGCUAUGAUCCUAAGGUCGCUGGUUCAACUCCAGCCGGAAGCACCUCCUUGUCAUUGGAAAUACCCCCAAGCCUUUUCUUUAUCUGUCAACUCCUCCAAAAUGUAAAAACACAAACAAGAUAACUCUUUCUUAAAUUUUCAACCAUCAAUUUUUUAUUCACCCAGCCUAAAAGUCCUGAUUAUCAGUUCUGGGUCCCUGGCAAUGACUGUUGGGUACAAACUGCAAAGCUUUGUCCGUCAGGUAGGGCUGGGCUUUUCAUUGACCAUGGGUUGGAAUAGUUCUGUGGGCAUAGUGUGUCUUCGAAGCCACUAUGUUUUCUGCACGUGUGACUAGAGAGCACCUUGAUAGCUCAGUUGGUAGAGCGGUGGACUGUAAGAUGCUCCUUGUGUGAAACGCUGUGAUCCUAAGGUCGCUGGUUCAACUCCAGCCGGAAGCACCUCCUUGUCAUUGGAAAUACCCCCAAGCCUUGUCUUUAUCUGUCAACUCCUCCAAAAUGUAAAAACACAAACAAGAUAACUCUUUCUUAAAUUUUCAACCAUCAAUUUUUUAUUCACCCAGCCUAAAAGUCCUGAUUAUCAGUUCUGGGUCCCUGGCAAUGACUGUUGGGUACAAACUGCAAAGCUUUGUUCGUCAGGUAGGGCUGGGCUUUUCAUUGACCAUGGGUUGGAAUAGUUCUGUGGGCAUAGUGUGUCUUCGAAGCCACUAUGUUUUCUGCACUUGUGACUAGAGAGCACCUUGAUAGCUCAGUUGGUAGAGCGGUGGACUGUAAGAUGCUCCUUGUGUGAAACGCUGUGAUCCUAAGGUCGCUGGUUCAACUCCAGCCGGAAGCACCUCCUUGUCAUUGGAAAUACCCCCAAGCCUUGUCUUUAUCUGUCAACUCCUCCAAAAUGUAAAAACACAAACAAGAUAACUCUUUCUUAAAUUUUCAACCAUCAAUUUUUUAUUCACCCAGCCUAAAAGUCCUGAUUAUCAGUUCUGGGUCCCUGGCAAUGACUGUUGGGUACAAACUGCAAAGCUUUGUUCGUCAGGUAGGGCUGGGCUUUUCAUUGACCAUGGGUUGGAAUAGUUCUGUGGGCAUAGUGUGUCUUCGAAGCCACUAUGUUUUCUGCACUUGUGACUAUAGAGCACCUUGAUAGCUCAGUUGGUAGAGCGGUGGACUGUAAGAUGCUCCUUGUGUGAAACGCUGUGAUCCUAAUGUCGCUGGUUCAACUCCAGCCGGAAGCACCUCCUUGUCAUUGUAAAUACCCCCAAGCCUUGUCUUUAUCUGUCAACUCCUCCAAAAUGUAAAAACACAAACAAGAUAACUCUUUCUUAAAUUUUCAACCAUCAAUUUUUUAUUCACCCAGCCUAAAAGUCCUGAUUAUCAGUUCUGGGUCCCUGGCAAUGACUGAUGGGUACAAACUGCAAAGCUUUGUUCGUCAGGUAGGGCUGGGCUUUUCAUUGACCAUGGGUUGGAAUAGUUCUGUGGGCAUAGUGUGUCUUCGAAGCCACUAUGUUUUCUGCACUUGUGACUAGAGAGCACCUUGAUAGCUCAGUUGGUAGAGCAGUGGACUGUAAGAUGCUCCUUGUGUGAAACGCUGUGAUCCUAAGGUCGCUGGUUCAACUCCAGCCGGAAGCACCUCCUUGUCAUUGGAAAUACCCCCAAGCCUUGUCUUUAUCUGUCAACUCCUCCAAAAUGUAAAAACACAAACAAGAUAACUCUUUCUUAAAUUUUCAACCAUCAAUUUUUUAUUCACCCAGCCUAAAAGUCCUGAUUAUCAGUUCUGGGUCCCUGGCAAUGACUGUUGGGUACAAACUGCAAAGCUUUGUUCGUCAGGUAGGGCUGGGCUUUUCAUUGACCAUGGGUUGGAAUAGUUCUGUGGGCAUAGUGUGUCUUCGAAGCCACUAUGUUUUCUGCACUUGUGACUAGAGAGCACCUUGAUAACUCAGUUGGUAGAGCGGUGGACUGUAAGAUGCUCCUUGUGUGAAACGCUGUGAUCCUAAGGUCGCUGGUUCAACUCCAGCCGAAGUACCUCCUCGUCAUUGGAAAUACCCCAAAGCCUUGUCUUUAUCUGUCAACUCCUCCAAAAUGUAAAAACACAAACAAGAUAACUCUUUCUUAAAUUUUCAACCAUCAAUUUUUUAUUCACCCAGCCUAAAAGUCCUGAUGAUCAGUUCUGGGUCCCUGGCAAUGACUGUUGGGUACAAACUGCAAAGCUUUGUUCUGCAGGUAGGGCUGGGCUUUUCAUUGACCAUGGGUUGGAAUAGUUCUGUGGGCAUAGUGUGUCUUCGAAGCCACUAUGUUUUCUGCACUUGUGACUAGAGAGCACCUUGAUAGCUCAGUUGGUAGAGCGGUGGACUGUAAGAUGCUCCUUGUGUGAAACGCUGUGAUCCUAAGGUCGCUGGUUCAACUCCAGCCGGAAGCACCUCCUUGUCAUUGGAAAUACCCCCAAGCCAUGUCUUUAUCUGUCAACUCCUCCAAAAUGUAAAAACACACCAAAAAAAAAUCUUUCUUAAAUUUUCAACCAUCAAUUUUUUAUUCACCCAGCCUAAAAGUCCUGAUUAUCAGUUCUGGGUCCCUGGCAAUGACUGUUGGGUACAAACUGCAAAGCUUUGUUCGUCAGGUAGGGCUGGGCUUUUCAUUGACCAUGGGUUGGAAUAGUUCUGUGGGCAUAGUGUGUCUUCGAAGCCACUAUGUUUUCUGCACUUGUGACUAGAGAGCACCUUGAUAGCUCAGUUGGUAGAGCGGUGGACUGUAAGAUGCUCCUUGUGUGAAACGCUGUGAUCCUAAGGUCGCUGGUUCAACUCCAGCCGGAAGCACCUCCUUGUCAUUGGAAAUACCCCCAAGCCUUGUCUUUAUCUGUCAACUCCUCCAAAAUGUAAAAACACAAACAAGAUAACUCUUUCUUAAAUUUUCAACCAUCAAUUUUUUAUUCACCCAGCCUAAAAGUCCUGAUUAUCAGUUCUGGGUCCCUGGCAAUGACUGAUGGGUACAAACUGCAAAGCUUUGUUCGUCAGGUAGGGCUGGGCUUUUCAUUGACCAUGGGUUGGAAUAGUUCUGUGGGCAAAGUGUGUCUUCGAAGCCACUAUGUUUUCUGCACUUGUGACUAGAGAGCACCUUGAUAGCUCAGUUGGUAGAGCAGUGGACUGUAAGAUGCUCCUUGUGUGAAACGCUGUGAUCCUAAGGUCGCUGGUUCAACUCCAGCCGGAAGCACCUCCUUGUCAUUGGAAAUACCCCCAAGCCUUGUCUUUAUCUGUCAACUCCUCCAAAAUGUAAAAACACAAACAAGAUAACUCUUUCUUAAAUUUUCAACCAUCAAUUUUUUAUUCACCCAGCCUUAAAGUCCUGAUUAUCAGUUCUGGGUCCCUGGCAAUGACUGUUGGGUACAAACUGCAAAGCUUUGUUCGUCAGGUAGGGCUGGGCUUUUCAUUGACCAUGGGUUGGAAUAGUUCUGUGGGCAUAGUGUGUCUUCGAAGCCACUAUGUUUUCUGCACUUGUGACUAGAGAGCACCUUGAUAGCUCAGUUGGUAGAGCGGUGGACUGUAAGAUGCUCCUUGUGUGAAACGCUGUGAUCCUAAGGUCGCUGGUUCAACUCCAGCCGAAGUACCUCCUCGUCAUUGGAAAUACCCCAAAGCCUUGUCUUUAUCUGUCAACUCCUCCAAAAUGUAAAAACACAAACAAGAUAACUCUUUCUUAAAUUUUCAACCAUCAAUUUUUUAUUCACCCAGCCUAAAAGUCCUGAUGAUCAGUUCUGGGUCCCUGGCAAUGACUGUUGGGUACAAACUGCAAAGCUUUGUUCUGCAGGUAGGGCUGGGCUUUUCAUUGACCAUGGGUUGGAAUAGUUCUGUGGGCAUAGUGUGUCUUCGAAGCCACUAUGUUUUCUGCACUUGUGACUAGAGAGCACCUUGAUAGCUCAGUUGGUAGAGCGGUGGACUGUAAGAUGCUCCUUGUGUGAAACGCUGUGAUCCUAAGGUCGCUGGUUCAACUCCAGCCGGAAGCACCUCCUUGUCAUUGGAAAUACCCCCAAGCCUUGUCUUUAUCUGUCAACUCCUCCAAAAUGUAAAAACACACACAAAAAAAAUCUUUCUUAAAUUUUCAACCAUCAAUUUUUUAUUCACCCAGCCUAAAAGUCCUGAUUAUCAGUUCUGGGUCCCUGGCAAUGACUGUAGGGUACACACUGCAAAGCUUUGUUCGUCAGGUAGGGCUGGGCUUUUCAUUGACCAUGGGUUGGAAUAGUUCUGUGGGCAUAGUGUGUCUUCGAAGCCACUAUGUUUUCUGCACUUGUGACUAGAGAGCACCUUGAUAGCUCAGUUGGUAGAGCGGUGGACUGUAAGAUGCUCCUUGUGUGAAACGCUGUGAUCCUAAGGUCGCUGGUUCAACUCCAGCCGGAAGCACCUCCUUGUCAUUGGAAAUACCCCCAAGCCUUGUCUUUAUCUGUCAACUCCUCCAAAAUGUAAAAACACACAAAAAAAAAAUCUUUCUUAAAUUUUCAACCAUCAAUUUUUUAUUCACCCAGCCUAAAAGUCCUGAUUAUCAGUUCUGGGUCCCUGGCAAUGACUGUUGGGUACACACUGCAAAGCUUUGUUCGUCAGGUAGGGCUGGGCUUUUCAUUGACCAUGGGUUGGAAUAGUUCUGUGGGCAUAGUGUGUCUUCGAAGCCACUAUGUUUUCUGCACUUGUGACUAGAGAGCAACUUGAUAGCUCAGUUGGUAGAGCGGUGGACUGUAAGAUGCUCCUUGUGUGAAACGCUGUGAUCCUAAGGUCGCUGGUUAAACUCCGGCUGGAAGCACCUCCUUGUCAUUGGAAAUACCCCCAGGCCUUGUCUUUAUCUGUCAACUCCUCCAAAAUGUAAAAACACAAACAAGAUAACUCUUUCUUAAAUUUUCAACCAUCAAUUUUUUAUUCACCCAGCCUAAAAGUCCUGAUUAUCAGUUCUGGGUCCCUGGCAAUGACUGUUGGGUACAAACUGCAAAGCUUUGUUCGUCAGGUAGGGCUGGGCUUUUCAUUGACCAUGGGUUGGAAUAGUUCUGUGGGCAUAGUGUGUCUUCGAAGCCACUAUGUUUUCUGCACUUGUGACUAGAGAGCACCUUGAUAGCUCAGUUGGUAGAGCGGUGGACUGUAAGAUGCUCCUUGUGUGAAACGCUGUGAUCCUAAGGUCGCUGGUUCAACUCCAGCCGGAAGCACCUCCUUGUCAUUGGAAAUACCCCCAAGCCUUGUCUUUAUCUGUCAACUCCUCCAAAAUGUAAAAACACAAACAAGAUAACUCUUUCUUAAAUUUUCAACCAUCAAUUUUUUAUUCACCCAGCCUAAAAGUCCUGAUUAUCAGUUCUGGGUCCCUGGCAAUGACUGUUGGGUACAAACUGCAAAGCUUUGUUCGUCAGGUAGGGCUGGGCUUUUCAUUGACCAUGGGUUGGAAUAGUUCUGUGGGCAUAGUGUGUCUUCGAAGCCACUAUGUUUUCUGCACUUGUGACUAGAGAGCACCUUGAUAGCUCAGUUGGUAGAGCGGUGGACUGUAAGAUGCUCCUUCUGUGAACACCGUGAUCCUAAGGUCGCUGGUUCAACUCCAGCCGGAAGCACCUCCUUGUCAUUGGAAAUACCCCAAAGCCUUGUCUUUAUUUGUCAACUCCUCCAAAAUGUAAAAACACAAACAAGGUAACUCUUUCUUAAAUUUUCAACCAUCAAUUUUUUAUUCACCCAGCCUAAAAGUCCUGAUUAUCAGUUCUGGGUCCCUGGCAAUGACUGUUGGGUACAAACUGCAAAGCUUUGUUCGUCAGGUAGGGCUGGGCUUUUCAUUGACCAUGGGUUGGAAUAGUUCUGUGGGCAUAGUGUGUCUUCGAAGCCACUAUGUUUUCUGCACUUGCGACUAGAGAGCACCUUGAUAGCUCAGUUGGUAGAGCAGUGGACUCUCAGAUGCUCCUUGUGUGAAACGCUGUGAUCCUAAGGUCGCUGGUUCAACUCCAGCCGGAAGCACCUCCUUGUCAUUGGAAAUACCCCCAAGCCUUGUCUUUAUCUGUCAACUCCUCCAAAAUGUAAAAACACAAACAAGUUAACUCUUUCUUAAAUUUUCAACCAUCAAUUUUUUAUUCACCCAGCCUAAAAGUCCUGAUUAUCAGUUCUGGGUCCCUGGCAAUGACUGUUGGGUACAAACUGCAAAGCUUUGUUCGUCAGGUAGGGCUGGGCUUUUCAUUGACCAUGGGUUGGAAUAGUUCUGUGGGCAUAGUGUGUCUUCGAAGCCACUAUGUUUUCUGCACUUGUGACUAGAGAGCACCUUGAUAGCUCAGUUGGUAGAGCGGUGGACUGUAAGAUGCUCCUUCUGUGAACACCGUGAUCCUAAGGUCGCUGGUUCAACUCCAGCCGGAAGCACCUCCUCGUCAUUGGAAAUACCCCAAAGCCUUGUCUUUAUCUGUCAACUCCUCCAAAAUGUAAAAACACAAACAAGAUAACUCUUUCUUAAAUUUUCAACCAUCAAUUUUUUAUUCACCCAGCCUAAAAGUCCUGAUGAUCAGUUCUGGGUCCCCGGCAAUGACUGUUGGGUACAAACUGCAAAGCUUUGUUCUGCAGGUAGGGCUGGGCUUUUCAUUGACCAUGGGUUGGAAUAGUUCUGUGGGCAUAGUGUGUCUUCGAAGCCACUAUGUUUUCUGCACUUGUGACUAGAGAGCACCUUGAUAGCUCAGUUGGUAGAGCGGUGGACUGUAAGAUGCUCCUUGUGUGAAACGCUGUGAUCCUAAGGUCGCUGGUUCAACUCCAGCCGGAAGCACCUCCUUGUCAUUGGAAAUACCCCCAAGCCUUGUCUUUAUCUGUCAACUCCUCCAAAAUGCAAAAACACAAACAAGAUAACUCUUUCUUAAAUUUUCAACCAUCAAUUUUUUAUUCACCCAGCCUAAAAGUCCUGAUUAUCAGUUCUGGGUCCCUGGCAAUGACUGUUGGGUACAAACUGCAAAGCUUUGUUCUGCAGGUAGGGCUGGGCUUUUCAUUGACCAUGGGUUGGAAUAGUUCUGUGGGCAUAGUGUGUCUUCGAAGCCACUAUGUUUUCUGCACUUGUGACUAGAGAGCCCCUUGAUAGCUCAGUUGGUAGAGCGGUGGACUGUAAGAUGCUCCUUGUGUGAAACGCUGUGAUCCUAAGGUCGCUGGUUCAACUCCAGCCGGAAGCACCUCCUUGUCAUUGGAAAUACCCCCAAGCCUUGUCUUUAUCUGUCAACUCCUCCAAAAUGUAAAAACACAAACAAGAUAACUCUUUCUUAAAUUUUCAACCAUCAAUUUUUUAUUCACCCAGCCUAAAAGUCCUGAUUAUCAGUUCUGGGUCCCUGGCAAUGACUGUUGGGUACAAACUGCAAAGCUUUGUUCGUCAGGUAGGGCUGGGCUUUUCAUUGACCAUGGGUUGGAAUAGUUCUGUGGGCAUAGUGUGUCUUCGAAGCCACUAUGUUUUCUGCACUUGUGACUAGAGAGCACCUUGAUAGCUCAGUUGGUAGAGCGGUGGACUGUAAGAUGCUCCUUGUGUGAAACGCUGUGAUCCUAAGGUCGCUGGUUGAACUCCAGCCAGAAGCACCUCCUCGUCAUUGGAAAUACCCCAAAGCCUUGUCUUUAUCUUUCAACUCCUCCAAAAUGUAAAAACACAAACAAGAUAACUCUUUCUUAAAUUUUCAACCAUCAAUUUUUUAUUCACCCAGCCUAAAAGUCCUGGUGAUCAGUUCUGGGUCCCUGGCAAUGACUGUUGGGUACAAACUGCAAAGCUUUGUUCGUCAGGUAGGGCUGGGCUUUUCAUUGACCAUGGGUUGGAAUAGUUCUGUGGGCAUAGUGUGUCUUCGAAGCCACUAUGUUUUCUGCACUUGUGACUAGAGAGCACCUUGAUAGCUCAGUUGGUAGAGCGGUGGACUGUAAGAUGCUCCUUGUGUGAAACGCUGUGAUCCUAAGGUCGCUGGUUCAACUCCAGCCGGAAGCACCUCCUUGUCAUUGGAAAUACCCCCAAGCCUUGUCUUUAUCUGUCAACUCCUCCAAAAUGUAAAAACACAAAAAAGAUAACUCUUUCUUAAAUUUUCAACCAUCAAUUUUUUAUUCACCCAGCCUAAAAGUCCUGAUUAUCAGUUCUGGGUCCCUGGCAAUGACUGUUGGGUACAAACUGCAAAGCUUUGUUCGUCAGGUAGGGCUGGGCUUUUCAUUGACCAUGGGUUGGAAUAGUUCUGUGGGCAUAGUGUGUCUUCGAAGCCACUAUGUUUUCUGCACUUGUGACUAGAGAGCACCUUGAUAGCUCAGUUGGUAGAGCGGUGGACUGUAAGAUGCUCCUUGUAUGAAACGCUGUGAUCCUAAGGUCGCUGGUUCAACUCCAGCCGGAAGCACCUCCUUGUCAUUGGAAAUACCCCCAAGCCUUGUCUUUAUCUGUCAACUCCUCCAAAAUGUAAAAACACACAAAAAAAAAACUCUUUCUUAAAUUUUCAACCAUCAAUUUUUUAUUCACCCAGCCUAAAAGUCCUAGUGAUCAGUUCUGGGUCCCUGGCAAUGACUGUUGGGUACAAACUGCAAAGCUUUGUUCGUCAGGUAGGGCUGGGCUUUUCAUUGACCAUGGGUUGGAAUAGUUCUGUGGGCAUAGUGUGUCUUCGAAUCCACUAUGUUUUCUGCACUUGUGACCAGAGAGCACCUUGAUAGCUCAGUUGGUAGAGCGGUGGACUGUAAGAUGCUCCUUGUGUGAAACGCUGUGAUCCUAAGGUCGCUGGUUCAACUCCAGCCGGCAGCACCUCCUUGUCAUUGGAAAUACCCCCAGGCCUUGUCUUUAUCUGUCAACUCCUCCAAAAUGUAAAAACACAAAAAAAAAAUCUUUCUUAAAUUUUCAACCAUCAAUUUUUUAUUCACCCACCCUUAAAGUCCUGAUGAUCAGUUCUGGGUCCCUGGCAAUGACUGUUGGGUACAAACUGCAAAGCUUUGUUCGUCAGGUAGGGCUGGGCUUUUCAUUGACCAUGGGUUGGAAUAGUUCUGUGGGCAUAGUGUGUCUUCGAAGCCACUAUGUUUUCUGCACUUGUGACUAGAGAGCACCUUGAUAGCUCAGUUGGUAGAGCGGUGGACUGUAAGAUGCUCCUUGUGUGAAACGCUGUGAUCCUAAGGUCGCUGGUUCAACUCCAGCCGGAAGCACCUCCUUGUCAUUGGAAAUACCCCCAAGCCUUGUCUUUAUCUGUCAACUCCUCCAAAAUGUAAAAACACACAAAAAAAAAAAUCUUUCUUAAAUUUUCAACCACCAAUUUUUUAUUCACCCAGCCUAAAAGUCCUGAUUAUUAGUUCUGGGUCCCUGGCAAUGACUGUUGGGUACACACUGCAAAGCUUUGUUCGUCAGGUAGGGCUGGGCUUUUCAUUGACCAUGGGUUGGAAUAGUUCUGUGGGCAUAGUGUGUCUUCGAAGCCACUAUGUUUUCUGCACUUGUGACUAGAGAGCAACUUGAUAGCUCAGUUGGUAGAGCGGUGGACUGUAAGAUGCUCCUUGUUUGAAACGCUGUGAUCCUAAGGUCGCUGGUUAAACUCCGGCUGGAAGCACCUCCUUGUCAUUGGAAAUACCCCCAACCCUUGUCUUUAUCUGUCAACUCCUCCAAAAUGUAAAAACACAAACAAGAUAACUCUUUCUUAAAUUUUCAACCAUCAAUUUUUUAUUCACCCAGCCUAAAAGUCCUGAUUAUCAGUUCUGGGUCCCUGGCAAUGACUGUUGGGUACAAACUGCAAAGCUUUGUUCGUCAGGUAGGGCUGGGCUUUUCAUUGACCAUGGGUUGGAAUAGUUCUGUGGGCAUAGUGUGUCUUCGAAGCCACUAUGUUUUCUGCACUUGUGACUAGAGAGCACCUUGAUAGCUCAGUUGGUAGAGCGGUGGACUGUAAGAUGCUCCUUGUGUGAAACGCUGUGAUCCUAAGGUCGCUGGUUCAACUCCAGCCGGAAGCACCUCCUUGUCAUUGGAAAUACCCGCAAGCCUUGUCUCUAUCUGUCAACUCCUCCAAAAUGCAAAAACACAAACAAGAUAACUCUUUCUUAAAUUUUCAACCAUCAAUUUUUUAUUCACCCAGCCUAAAAGUCCUGAUUAUCAGUUCUGGGUCCCUGGCAAUGGCUGUUGGGUACAAACUGCAAAGCUUUGUUCUGCAGGUAGGGCUGGGCUUUUCAUUGACCAUGGGUUGGAAUAGUUCUGUGGGCAUAGUGUGUCUUCAAAGCCACUAUGUUUUCUGCACUUGUGACUAGAGAGCACCUUGAUAGCUCAGUUGGUAGAGCGGUGGACUGUAAGAUGCUCCUUCUGUGAACACCUUGAUCCUAAGGUCGCUGGUUCAACUCCAGCCGGAAGCACCUCCUUGUCAUUGGAAAUACCCCCAAGCCUUGUCUUUAUUUGUCAACUCCUCCAAAAUGUAAAAACACAAACAAGGUAACUCUUUCUUAAAUUUUCAACCAUCAAUUUUUUAUUCACCCAGCCUAAAAGUCCUGAUUAUCAGUUCUGGGUCCCUGGCAAUGACUGUUGGGUACAAACUGCAAAGCUUUGUUCGUCAGGUAGGGCUGGGCUUUUCAUUGACCAUGGGUUGGAAUAGUUCUGUGGGCAUAGUGUGUCUUCGAAGCCACUAUGUUUUCUGCACUUGUGACUAGAGAGCACCUUGAUAGCUCAGUUUGUAGAGCAGUGGACUCUAAGAUGCUCCUUGUGUGAAACGCUGUGAUCCUAACGUCGCUGGUUCAACUCCAGCCGGAAGCACCUCCUUGUCAUUGGAAAUACCCCCAAGCCUUGUCUUUAUCUGUCAACUCCUCCAAAAUGUAAAAACACAAACAAGAUAACUCUUUCUUAAAUUUUCAACCAUCAAUUUUUUAUUCACCCAGCCUAAAAGUCCUGAUUAUCAGUUCUGAGUCCCUGGCAAUGACUGUUGGGUACAAACUGCAAAGCUUUGUUCGUCAGGUAGGGCUGGGCUUUUCAUUGACCAUGGGUUGGAAUAGUUCUGUGGGCAUAGUGUGUCUUAGAAGCCACUAUGUUUUCUGCACUUGUGACUAGAGAGCACCUUGAUAGCUCAGUUGGUAGAGCAGUGGACUGUAAGAUGCUGCUUGUGUGAAACGCUGUGAUCCUAAGGUCGCUGGUUCAACUCCAGCCGGAAGCACCUCCUUGUCAUUGGAAAUACCCCCAAGCCUUGUCUUUAUCUGUCAACUCCUCCAAAAUGUAAAAACACAAACAAGUUAACUCUUUCUUAAAUUUUCAACCAUCAAUUUUUUAUUCACCCAGCCUAAAAGUCCUGAUUAUCAGUUCUGGGUCCCUGGCAAUGACUGUUGGGUACAAACUGCAAAGCUUUGUUCGUCAGGUAGGGCUGGGCUUUUCAUUGACCAUGGGUUGGAAUAGUUCUGUGGGCAUAGUGUGUCUUCGAAGCCACUAUGUUUUCUGCACUUGUGACUAGAGAGCACCUUGAUAGCUCAGUUGGUAGAGCGGUGGACUGUAAGAUGCUCCUUGUGUGAAACGCUGUGAUCCUAAGUUCGCUGGUUCAACUCCAGCCAGAAGAACCUCCUUGUCAUUGGAAAUACCCCCAAGCCUUGUCUUUAUCUGUCAACUCCUCCAAAAUGUAAAAACACACACACAAAAAAAAUCUUUAUUAAAUUAUCAACCAUCAAUUUUUUAUUCACCCAGCCUAAAAGUCCUGAUUAUCAGUUCUGGGUCCCUGGCAAUGACUGUUGGGUACAAACUGCAAAGCUUUGUUCGUCAGGUAGGGCUGGGCUUUUCAUUGACCAUGGGUUGGAAUAGUUCUGUGGGCAUAGUGUGUCUUCGAAGCCACUAUGUUUUCUGCACUUGUGACUAGAGAGCACCUUGAUAGCUCAGUUGGUAGAGCGGUGGACUGUAAGAUGCUUCUUGUGUGAAACGCUGUGAUCCUAAGGUCGCUGGUUCAACUCCAGCCGUUAGCACCUCCUUGUCAUUCGAAAAACCCGCAAGCCUUGUCUUUAUCUGUCAACUCCUCCAAAAUGUAAAAACACAAACAAGAUAACUCUUUCUUAAAUUUUCAACCAUCAAUUUUUUAUUCACCCAGCCUAAAAGUCCUGAUUAUCAGUUCUGGGUCCCUGGCAAUGACUGUUGGGUACAAACUGCAAAGCUUUGUUCGUCAGGUAGGGCUGGGCUUUUCAUUGACCAUGGGUUGGAAUAGUUCUGUGGGCAUAGUGUGUCUUCGAAGCCACUAUGUUUUCUGCACUUGUGACUAGAGAGCCCCUUGAUAGCUCAGUUGGUACAGCCGUGGACUGUAAAAUGCUCCUUGUGUGAAACGCUGUGAUCCUAAGGUCGCUGGUUCAACUCCAGCCGGAAGCACCUCCUUGUCAUUGGAAAUACCCGCAAGCCUUGUCUUUAUCUGUCAACUCCUCCAAAAUGUAAAAACACAAACAAGAUAACUCUUUCUUAAAUUUUCAACCAUCAAUUUUUUAUUCACCCAGCCUAAAAGUCCUGAUUAUCAGUUCUGGGUCCCUGGCAAUGACUGUUGGGUACAAACUGCAAAGCUUUGUUCGUCAGGUAGGGCUGGGCUUUUCAUUGACCAUGGGUUGGAAUAGUUCUGUGGGCAUAGUGUGUCUUCGAAGCCACUAUGUUUUCUGCACUUGUGACUAGCGAGCACCUUGAUAGCUCAGUUGCAUAGAGCGGUGGACUGUAAGAUGCUCCUUGUGUGAAACGCUGUGAUCCUAAGGUCGCUGGUUCAACUCCAGCCGGAAGCACCUCCUUGUCAUUGGAAAUACCCGCAAGCCUUGUCUUUAUCUGUCAACUCCUCCAAAAUGUAAAAACACAAACAAGAUAACUCUUUCUUAAAUUUUCAACCAUCAAUUUUUUAUUCACCCAGCCUAAAAGUCCUGAUGAUCAGUUCUGGGUCCCUGGCAAUGACUGUUGGGUACAAACUGCAAAGCUUUGUUCGUCAGGUAGGGCUGGGCUUUUCAUUGACCAUGGGUUGGAAUAGUUCUGUGGGCAUAGUGUGUCUUCGAAGCCACUAUGUUUUCUGCACUUGUGACUAGAGAGCACCUUGAUAGCUCAGUUGGUAGAGCGGUGGACUGUAAGAUGCUCCUUGUGUGAAACGCUGUGAUCCUAAGGUCGCUGGUUCAACUCCAGCCGGAAGCACCUCCUUGUCAUUGGAAAUACCCGCAAGCCUUGUCUUUAUCUGUCAACUCCUCCAAAAUGUAAAAACACAAACAAGAUAACUCUUUCUUAAAUUUUCAACCAUCAAUUUUUUAUUCACCCAGCCUAAAAGUCCUGAUUAUCAGUUCUGGGUCCCUGGCAAUGACUGUUGGGUACAAACUGCAAAGCUUUGUUCGUCAGGUAGGGCUGGGCUUUUCAUUGACCAUGGGUUGGAAUAGUUCUGUGGGCAUAGUGUGUCUUCGAAGCCACUAUGUUUUCUGCACUUGUGACUAGCGAGCACCUUGAUAGCUCAGUUGCAUAGAGCGGUGGACUGUAAGAUGCUCCUUGUGUGAAACGCUGUGAUCCUAAGGUCGCUGGUUCAACUCCAGCCGGAAGCACCUCCUUGUCAUUGGAAAUACCCGCAAGCCUUGUCUUUAUCUGUCAACUCCUCCAAAAUGUAAAAACACAAACAAGAUAACUCUUUCUUAAAUUUUCAACCAUCAAUUUUUUAUUCACCCAGCCUAAAAGUCCUGAUUAUCAGUUCUGGGUCCCUGGCAAUGACUGUUGGGUACAAACUGCAAAGCUUUGUUCGUCAGGUAGGGCUGGGCUUUUCAUUGACCAUGGGUUGGAAUAGUUCUGUGGGCAUAGUGUGUCUUCGAAGCCACUAUGUUUUCUGCACUUGUGACUAGAGAGCACCUUGAUAGCUCAGUUGGUAGAGCGGUGGACUGUAAGAUGCUCCUUGUGUGAAACGCUGUGAUCCUAAGGUCGCUGGUUCAACUCCAGCCGGAAGCACCUCCUUGUCAUUGGAAAUACCCCCAAGCCUUGUCUUUAUCUGUCAACUCCUCCAAAAUGUAAAAACACAAACAAGAUAACUCUUUCUUAAAUUUUCAACCAUCAAUUUUUUAUUCACCCAGCCUAAAAGUCCUGAUUAUCAGUUCUGGGUCCCUGGCAAUGACUGUUGGGUACAAACUGCAAAGCUUUGUUCGUCAGGUAGGGCUGGGCUUUUCAUUGACCAUGGGUUGGAAUAGUUCUGUGGGCAUAGUGUGUCUUCGAAGCCACUAUGUUUUCUGCACUUGUGACUAGAGAGCCCCUUGAUAGCUCAGUUGGUACAGCCGUGGACUGUAAAAUGCUCCUUGUGUGAAACGCUGUGAUCCUAAGGUCGCUGGUUCAACUCCAGCCGGAAGCACCUCCUUGUCAUUGGAAAUACCCGAAAGCCGUGUCUUUAUCUGUCAACUCCUCCAAAAUGUAAAAACACAAACAAGAUAACUCUUUCUUAAAUUUUCAACCAUCAAUUUUUUAUUCACCCAGCCUAAAAGUCCUGAUUAUCAGUUCUGGGUCCCUGGCAAUGACUGUUGGGUACAAACUGCAAAGCUUUGUUCGUCAGGUAGGGCUGGGCUUUUCAUUGACCAUGGGUUGGAAUAGUUCUGUGGGCAUAGUGUGUCUUCGAAGCCACUAUGUUUUCUGCACUUGUGACUAGCGAGCACCUUGAUAGCUCAGUUGCAUAGAGCGGUGGACUGUAAGAUGCUCCUUGUGUGAAACGCUGUGAUCCUAAGGUCGCUGGUUCAACUCCAGCCGGAAGCACCUCCUUGUCAUUGGAAAUACCCGCAAGCCUUGUCUUUAUCUGUCAACUCCUCCAAAAUGUAAAAACACAAACAAGAUAACUCUUUCUUAAAUUUUCAACCAUCAAUUUUUUAUUCACCCAGCCUAAAAGUCCUGAUUAUCAGUUCUGGGUCCCUGGCAAUGACUGUUGGGUACAAACUGCAAAGCUUUGUUCGUCAGGUAGGGCUGGGCUUUUCAUUGACCAUGGGUUGGAAUAGUUCUGUGGGCAUAGUGUGUCUUCGAAGCCACUAUGUUUUCUGCACUUGUGACUAGCGAGCACCUUGAUAGCUCAGUUGCAUAGAGCGGUGGACUGUAAGAUGCUCCUUGUGUGAAACGCUGUGAUCCUAAGGUCGCUGGUUCAACUCCAGCCGGAAGCACCUCCUUGUCAUUGGAAAUACCCGCAAGCCUUGUCUUUAUCUGUCAACUCCUCCAAAAUGUAAAAACACAAACAAGAUAACUCUUUCUUAAAUUUUCAACCAUCAAUUUUUUAUUCACCCAGCCUAAAAGUCCUGAUUAUCAGUUCUGGGUCCCUGGCAAUGACUGUUGGGUACAAACUGCAAAGCUUUGUUCGUCAGGUAGGGCUGGGCUUUUCAUUGACCAUGGGUUGGAAUAGUUCUGUGGGCAUAGUGUGUCUUCGAAGCCACUAUGUUUUCUGCACUUGUGACUAGAGAGCACCUUGAUAGCUCAGUUGGUAGAGCGGUGGACUGUAAGAUGCUCCUUGUGUGAAACGCUGUGAUCCUAAGGUCGCUGGUUCAACCCCAGCCGGAAGCACCUCCUUGUCAUUGGAAAUACCCCCAAGCCUUGUCUUUAUCUGUCAACUCCUCCAAAAUGUAAAAACACAAACAAGAUAACUCUUUCUUAAAUUUUCAACCAUCAAUUUUUUAUUCACCCAGCCUAAAAGUCCUGAUUAUCAGUUCUGGGUCCCUGGCAAUGACUGUUGGGUACAAACUGCAAAGCUUUGUUCGUCAGGUAGGGCUGGGCUUUUCAUUGACCAUGGGUUGGAAUAGUUCUGUGGGCAUAGUGUGUCUUCGAAGCCACUAUGUUUUCUGCACUUGUGACUAGCGAGCACCUUGAUAGCUCAGUUGCAUAGAGCGGUGGACUGUAAGAUGCUCCUUGUGUGAAACGCUGUGAUCCUAAGGUCGCUGGUUCAACUCCAGCCGGAAGCACCUCCUUGUCAUUGGAAAUACCCGCAAGCCUUGUCUUUAUCUGUCAACUCCUCCAAAAUGUAAAAACACAAACAAGAUAACUCUUUCUUAAAUUUUCAACCAUCAAUUUUUUAUUCACCCAGCCUAAAAGUCCUGAUUAUCAGUUCUGGGUCCCUGGCAAUGACUGUUGGGUACAAACUGCAAAGCUUUGUUCGUCAGGUAGGGCUGGGCUUUUCAUUGACCAUGGGUUGGAAUAGUUCUGUGGGCAUAGUGUGUCUUCGAAGCCACUAUGUUUUCUGCACUUGUGACUAGAGAGCACCUUGAUAGCUCAGUUGGUAGAGCGGUGGACUGUAAGAUGCUCCUUGUGUGAAACGCUGUGAUCCUAAGGUCGCUGGUUCAACUCCAGCCGGAAGCACCUCCUUGUCAUUGGAAAUACCCCCAAGCCUUGUCUUUAUCUGUCAACUCCUCCAAAAUGUAAAAACACAACCAAGAUAACUCUUUCUUAAAUUUUCAACCAUCAAUUUUUUAUUCACCCAGCCUAAAAGUCCUGAUUAUCAGUUCUGGGUCCCUGGCAAUGACUGUUGGGUACAAACUGCAAAGCUUUGUUCGUCAGGUAGGGCUGGGCUUUUCAUUGACCAUGGGUUGGAAUAGUUCUGUGGGCAUAGUGUGUCUUCGAAGCCACUAUGUUUUCUGCACUUGUGACUAGAGAGCACCUUGAUAGCUCAGUUGGUAGAGCGGUGGACUGUAAGAUGCUCCUUGUGUGAAACGCUGUGAUCCUAAGGUCGCUGGUUCAACUCCAGCCGGAAGCACCUCCUUGUCAUUGGAAAUACCCGCAAGCCUUGUCUUUAUCUGUCAACUCCUCCAAAAUGCAAAAACACAAACAAGAUAACUCUUUCUUAAAUUUUCAACCAUCAAUUUUUUAUUCACCCAGCCUAAAAGUCCUGAUUAUCAGUUCUGGGUCCCUGGCAAUGACUGUUGGGUACAAACUGCAAAGCUUUGUUCUGCAGGUAGGGCUGGGCUUUUCAUUGACCAUGGGUUGGAAUAGUUCUGUGGGCAUAGUGUGUCUUCGAAGCCACUAUGUUUUCUGCACUUGUGACUAGAGAGCCCCUUGAUAGCUCAGUUGGUAGAGCCGUGGACUGUAAAAUGCUCCUUGUGUGAAACGCUGUGAUCCUAAGGUCGCUGGUUCAACUCCAGCCGGAAGCACCUCCUUGUCAUUGGAAAUACCCCCAAGCCUUGUCUUUAUCUGUCAACUCGUCCAAAAUGUAAAAACACAAACAAGAUAACUCUUUCUUAAAUUUUCAACCAUCAAUUUUUUAUUCACCCAGCCUAAAAGUCCUGAUUAUCAGUUCUGGGUCCCUGGCAAUGACUGUUGGGUACAAACUGCAAAGCUUUGUUCGUCAGGUAGGGCUGGGCUUUUCAUUGACCAUGGGUUGGAAUAGUUCUGUGGGCAUAGUGUGUCUUCGAAGCCACUAUGUUUUCUGCACUUGUGACUAGCGAGCACCUUGAUAGCUCAGUUGGAUAGAGCGGUCGACUGUAAGAUGCUCCUUGUGUGAAACGCUGUGAUCCUAAGGUCGCUGGUUCAACUCCAGCCGGAAGCACCUCCUUGUCAUUGGAAAUACCCGCAAGCCUUGUCUUUAUCUGUCAACUCCUCCAAAAUGUAAAAACACAAACAAGAUAACUCUUUCUUAAAUUUUCAACCAUCAAUUUUUUAUUCACCCAGCCUAAAAGUCCUGAUUAUCAGUUCUGGGUCCCUGGCAAUGACUGUUGGGUACAAACUGCAAAGCUUUGUUCGUCAGGUAGGGCUGGGCUUUUCAUUGACCAUGGGUUGGAAUAGUUCUGUGGGCAUAGUGUGUCUUCGAAGCCACUAUGUUUUCUGCACUUGUGAAUAGAGAGCCCCUUGAUAGCUCAGUUGGUAGAGCCGUGGACUGUAAAAUGCUCCUUGUGUGAAACGCUGUGAUCCUAAGGUCGCUGGUGCAACUACAGCCGGAAGCACCUCCUUGUCAUUGGAAAUACCCGCAAGCCUUGUCUUUAUCUGUCAACUCCUCCAAAAUGUUAAAACACAAACAAGAUAACUCUUUCUUAAAUUUUCAACCAUCAAUUUUUUAUUCACCCAGCCUAAAAGUCCUGAUUAUCAGUUCUGGGUCCCUGGCAAUGACUGUUGGGUACAAACUGCAAAGCUUUGUUCGUCAGGUAGGGCUGGGCUUUUCAUUGACCAUGGGUUGGAAUAGUUUUGUGGGCAUAGUGUGUCUUCGAAGCCACUAUGUUUUCUGCACUUGUGACUAGAGAGCACCUUUAUAGCUCAGUUGGUAGAGCGGUGGACUGUAAGAUGCUCCUUGUGUGAAACGCUGUGAUCCUAAGGUCGCUGGUUCAACUCCAGCCGGAAGCACCUCCUUGUCAUUGGAAAUACCCGCAAGCCUUGUCUUUAUCUGUCAACUCGUCCAAAAUGUAAAAACACAAACAAGAUAACUCUUUCUUAAAUUUUCAACCAUCAAUUUUUUAUUCACCCAGCCUAAAAGUCCUGAUUAUCAGUUCUGGGUCCCUGGCAAUGACUGUUGGGUACAAACUGCAAAGCUUUGUUCGUCAGGUAGGGCUGGGCUUUUCAUUGACCAUGGGUUGGAAUAGUUUUGUGGGCAUAGUGUGUCUUCGAAGCCACUAUGUUUUCUGCACUUGUGACUAGAGAGCACCUUGAUAGCUCAGUUGGUAGAGCGGUGGACUGUAAGAUGCUCCUUGUGUGAAACGCUGUGAUCCUAAGGUCGCUGGUUCAACUCCAGCCGGAAGCACCUCCUUGUCAUUGGAAAUACCCCCAAGCCUUGUCUAUAUCUGUCAACUCCUCCAAAAUGUAAAAACACAAACAAGAUAACUCUUUCUUAAAAUUUCAACCAUCAAUUUUUUAUUCACCCAGCCUAAAAGUCCUGAUUAUCAGUUCUGGGUCCCUGGCAAUGACUGUUGGGUACAAACUGCAAAGCUUUGUUCGUCAGGUAGGGCUGGGCUUUUCAUUGACCAUGGGAUGGAAUAGUUCUGUGGGCAUAGUGUGUCUUCGAAGCCACUAUGUUUUCUGCACUUGUGAAUAGAGAGCCCCUUGAUAGCUCAGUUGGUAGAGCCGUGGACUGUAAAAUGCUCCUUGUGUGAAACGCUGUGAUCCUAAGGUCGCUGGUGCAACUACAGCCGGAAGCACCUCCUUGUCAUUGGAAAUACCCGCAAGCCUUGUCUUUAUCCGUCAACUCCUCCAAAAUGUAAAAACACAAACAAGAUAACUCUUUCUUAAAUUUUCAACCAUCAAUUUUUUAUUCACCCAGCCUAAAAGUCCUGAUUAUCAGUUCUGGGUCCCUGGCAAUGACUGUUGGGUACAAACUGCAAAGCUUUGUUCGUCAGGUAGGGCUGGGCUUUUCAUUGACCAUGGGUUGGAAUAGUUCUGUGGGCAUAGUGUGUCUUAGAAGCCACUAUGUUUUCUGCACUUGUGACUAGAGAGCACCUUGAUAGCUCAGUUGGUAGAGCGGUGGACUGUAAGAUGCUCCUUGUGUGAAACGCUGUGAUCCUAAGGUCGCUGGUUCAACUCCAGCCGGAAGCACCUCCUUGUCAUUCGAAAAACCCGCAAGCCUUGUCUUUAUCUGUCAACUCUUCCAAAAUGUAAAAACACAAACAAGAUAACUCUUUCUUAAAUUUUCAACCAUCAAUUUUUUAUUCACCCAGCCUAAAAGUCCUGAUUAUCAGUUCUGGGUCCCUGGCAAUGACUUUUGGGUACAAACUGCAAA